rnacentral:lncRNA from 1 species
UGCUUGUGAGUGACUGUUAUUCUCAUUUCUUGUAACUGACAGUCACAAUUAUAUAUCAGAAAAGGAGGAGAAAAUGAAAGCUCAAGAAAACAGCAAAAUUAUACAUGUAUGGAGUAAGAUCCACGUUGUAAAACGAGGGCAUAUCUUUGGAGGCCUCUUGCAGUUGGGAUUAUUUUUUACAAGCAUUCUUACCAGAGGAGGUUGUGAGUCAGGGGCUCUAAGACACAAAUAUAUGUAGCUGAAAACUGAAGAAAAGGUAACAGGCAAAAUGCCAGGUGGUAUUCAACAAUCUUGGUGAGAGGUAUGUAUCUUCUAAAGUGAAGUAUACCUAAGGACUACACUGAAAUUAUUUUUAUUUUUUCCAUAUAUGUAUGCUUCCUCAUGCUCACAUGAUUUAUAAUUUUCC